rnacentral:rRNA from 1 species
AUUGAACGCUGGCGGAAUGCUUUACACAUGCAAGUCGAACGGUAGAGGGGGCAACCCCUCGAGAGUGGCGAACGGGUGAGUAAUAUAUCGGAGCGUGCCCAGUCGUGGGGGAUAACGUAGCGAAAGUUACGCUAAUACCGUAUACGAUCUAAGGAUGAAAGCGGGGGAUCGCAAGACCUCGCGCGAUUGGAGCGGCCGAUAUCAGAUUAGGUAGUUGGUGGGGUAAAGGCUCACCAAGCCAACGAUCUGUAGCUGGUCUGAGAGGACGACCAGCCACACUGGAACUGAGACACGGUCCAGACUCCUACGGGAGGCAGCAGUGGGGAAUUUUGGACAAUGGACGCAAGUCUGAUCCAGCCAUUCCGCGUGCAGGAUGAAGGCCCUCGGGUUGUAAACUGCCUUUGUACGGAGCGAAAAGGUCUCUCUUAAUACGGGGGACUCAUGACGGUACCGUAAGAAUAAGCACCGGCUAACUACGUGCCAGCAGCCGCGGUAACAC